rnacentral:rRNA from 1 species
GACGAACCGUGCGAACGUUAUUCGGAAUCACUGGGCCUAAAGCGCGUGUAGGCGGCCCGGCACGUCUCUGGCUGAAAUCCCCCGGCUCAACCGGGGAAGGGGCCGGGAUACGACCGGGCUGGAGGGGGGUAGGGGGGACGGGAACUCCGGGUGGAGCGGUGAAAUGCGUAGAUAUCUGGAGGAACACCGGUGGCGAAGGCGGCAUCCUGGACCGGCACUGACGCUGAGGAGCGAAAGCCAGGGGAGCAAACGGG